GACGAACGCUGGCGGCGUGCUUAACACAUGCAAGUCGAACGGAAAGGCCCUGCUUUUGUGGGGUGCUCGAUUGGCGAACGGGUGAGUAACACGUGAGUAACCUGCCCUUGACUUUGGGAUAACUUCAGGAAACUGGUGCUAAUACCGGAUAGGAGCUCCUGCUGCAUGGUGGGGGUUGGAAAGUUUCGGCGGUUGGGGAUGUACUCGCGGCUUAUCAGCUUGUUGGUGGGGUAGUGGCUUACCAAGGCUUUGACGGGUAGCCGGCCUGAGAGGGUGACCGGCCACAUUGGGACUGAGAUACGGCCCAGACUCCAACGGGAGGCAGCAGGGGGGAAUAUUGCACAAUGGGCGGAAGCCUGAUGCAGCAACGCCGCGUGCGGGAUGACGGCCUUCGGGUUGUAAACCGCUUUCGACUGUGACGAAGCGUGAGUGACGGUAAUGGGUAAAGAAGCACCGGCUAACUACGUG
rnacentral:rRNA from 1 species